UAAGCUGAAGCCAAAUGUUGGGCGCUUAGCUGUUAACUAAGAAAUAGUAGGAUAGAAACCUGCCAGUUUAG
rnacentral:tRNA from 1 species